CUCCCCCAGCGAGGUGUGCCGGAUCCGCGCCCCUCCUAUGCUGAAUCCGCGAACGGCGGAGGCCGGAUUCGCCGCCCCCCGGGCCGGUGAGCGGCCUCCUCCCUCCCCCAGCAAGGUGCGCGAGGCGCUCCUUCGGCCUCCCUCGCCUUCCUCCCCCUCCUCCUCCCUCGAUUUGGGUCGGCGGCGGCCGGAUCCACCCCUCUGUCUCCAUGGAGGGCGGCGAGGUCGGCGGCCUCGACGGCUCCAGCUGGCGGCGAGCUCGGCUCGGCUCCGGUGCGGCCCACACCUCCAUCCUCCCUCCUCCCAGUCCCAGGCCGUGAACGAGCCGGCCGCCACACCCGCGAUCUGGGACCUACUCCCAGUCAAAGGCAUCCUCCUUCGAUGCGUCCGGUGGAAGACGGUGCCACCGAUUCGGAUCUUGCUGCCCCUGCCCAUCUGCACUGCGCUCCGAGAGAAGUGACCAAUAUUCAGAUCAUAAAGAUAUUCAAUGGUGAUGAAGUACGCUAUAUAAAUGAGUUGCCUGAAUGAAGAAUCAUAUGGCUCUGAUGGUGAAGCUUCCGAUGGGGAUGCGGUCUUGGCUGUGGCGAGCAAGAACAGCAUGGUGAGAACCUGUUGCUGGUCCUCAAUCAAGGUGUGGCUCUCUGCCAGCUGCCAUGCUGUUGUUGCUGCUCUCUACUUGCCGACACAACCACGGUGAGUUUGGAAAAUACAGAAUGUAUUUCCAGGUAGCAAAAGAAGGAACCGAAAUACAGUUACCAUGUAGUAUUUCAAUAUCACUGCAUCAGCCAUUCUAUUCUCAAUCAAUCUGAACUUCAGCAUUACUUGUAUGGGAUCCGCCGAUUAUUGUGUGACCAGAGCUUACAGUCGUAUGAACAGAGCUAUAUGUUGAUUUCAGGCUUGCUUCAUCAAACUGAAAGAUAUUGCGUGAGAUACUGACAUUUAUUUGUGCUGUUGUUGAUACUGACAACAAAAUUCAUACCAAGCAAAAAAAUAACUAAAAAUAUUUGGAUUGCAUUUCGUAGGAAUUUUCUGGUGGAUAUCACCCUAAACUUUGUGAUUCAGAAUAAUCCCAUGUGCUGUUGCUGAGUAUAUCAAGUGGGACCUGGGUCCAGGGCUCAAUCUCAGUGAGGCAUUUGGAGCGUUCUUCUGGAGCGCAUAUCUUGGGUUGGCAUUUAGCAAAAAGCUGGAAGCUUUGCUUUCUUUAAGCCUAGAUUUACUUAGCAUAUACUAUGUAUCUUUACUCAAUGUGUAUGAGCCUGUGUUUUUUUGUUGCUUGUUUUUGUCACUAGAACUGGAAUCUCAACGUGUCACUCUUAUAUUCUUGCUGAAUUCUGUUGCAUCUCAUGGAACAAGCAAGUCUUGAUGGACCUUGGCGUCAUGUUUAUUGAAACCAGUGCUAAAGCUGGAUGUAACAUUAAGAUAUGCUUCAGAAUAUAAACUGCUUACAUGUCUCCUUUCAGAGUAGUGUGUUUUUUGUUUAGGAAGGCCUUUAUUUUUCUGCCAAUCACUGACCAUCACAAACUUGUGAGCAUGUGCUGUUCUGUAAAAUUGCUGCUGCACUUCUGGAAUGGAGACACUCUCAUCAGCGAAGCAGGAAGGCAUGGUUGAUGUGAACUUGAGGUCCGGCAAUGCAAACUCGUCCCAUUCUCAGAUUUGGAAUUUGCAAAUAGCGGAAGAAAUAUGUUCAC